rnacentral:tRNA from 1 species
UCGAAAUCCGGGUGACGCUACGGACUUAAAAUCCGUCGACUUUAUAAGUCGUGAGGGUUCAAGUCCCUCUAUCCCCA